GAUUCUUCAGACUAAGUGAAAAACUAACAAAUGUUAAUCUCUAUCCAAAGGGAUGAAUGGCUCAGACGGCAGAGAAAAAUGGUCGCCAUUGACGCAUUGAACUUCAAAAACCAGAAGGAGCAGUACGACAUGACACGCGUAAUCCGUGAGCUGAACAAGGCCUACUGUGGUUUCCGGGGAGAAGAGAACAUUCCUGUCGAUUACCUCCCAGCUGUAGCUACUGGGAACUGGGGCUGCGGUGCCUUUAAGGGUGACCCCAAACUCAAAGAAUGGAGCCUUACCAAUGCUGCACGUCCACCACACAUGAGAUCCCCAUCCAUCACAUUCUGCACAUUUAUACAGACACUAUGGGCAAUUUAGACAUGCUCAUUACCCUAUUUACAUGGCUUUGGACUGAACGUGCACAUGGAGCGACCAUGUAAACUCCACACCCAGCGUGUCGGCUUUGAACCCCCAGCUCAGCCAUGAAACCCCCAUGGUUCUCAUACUCUAUGGAAGUGUUUCCCAGUCCGGUCCUCGGGGACCCACAGAGUCCACA